GCCCUCGUAGCUCAGGCGGCAGAGCGCACCCUUGGUAAGGGUGAGGUCCCGGGUUCAAGUCCCGGCGGGGGCUCCA
rnacentral:tRNA from 1 species